rnacentral:tRNA from 1 species
GCCUCGCUGGCCCAAUCGGUUAAGGCUCCCGACUCUUAAUCGGGCGAUUGGGGGUUCGAGUCCCCCGUGGGGCU